rnacentral:lncRNA from 1 species
GGCGGCUGAUCCGGCGUGUCCGGGUGAGCUGGGACUGGAGAGCAGGGGAGGAGGCUUUGGCAGGGAGUCCUUCCUCCUGCAGCUGGUGGUCAGCAGGGCCCAGGGGCGUGGAGGAGUUUGGCCAGAGCCGCCCUGAUGUCCCGGUUGCGCAGGCAGUAGAUGACGGGGUUGAGCAGCGGGGUCAUCACGAGAUAAAGGUGAGUAGACCACGACCCACUCCCCGCUUGUUGUUGACGUCGAUGGAGUUGGCGGCGAUUGAGUAACCGGGCGUACGAGAUGAAGUGGUGAGUGCUGUAGAAGACCCGGCCACCCACAGCACGGCCGGGGGAGUGGCGCAGGUGGAGAAGGCUCUCCGGCGUCUGGCCCACCCCGGGAUCCUCAGCACGGUGGCCAGGAUGUGCACGUAGGACACCGUGGUCACCAGCAGGGAGGUGGCGAGCACAGCCAGGGCUGCCACGAAGUCCAGAACUUCCACGGCAGUGGUGUCAGAGCACGAGAGCUGCAGCAGGGGUGAGACGUCGCAGAAGAAGUGGUUGAGGACGUUGGGGCCACAGAACCUGAGGCGUGAGAUGAGAGCCACGGACACGAACGAGGCCAGGAAGCCGCCCAGCCAGGCGCCCAGGGCCAGCCACAGGCAGAGCCCCCGGUUCAUGGUGGCCGGGUAGCGCAGCGGGCGACAGAUGGCCAGGUACCGGUCACAGGCCAUGGUGGUCAGGAGGAAGCACUCGGAGGAGCCGAGCGAGAGGAAGAGAAACAGCUGCGUGAGGCACCCUGCGAAGGAGAUGGUCCUCGCCCGCGCCAGGAGGCCCGCCAGCAGCUUGGGGACGGUGACCGAGAUGUAGAGGGUCUCCAGCACUGACAGGUUGGCCAGGAAGAAGUACAUGGGCGUGUGCAGUUGGCGGCUGGCUCGGAUGGUCACCACGAUGACCAGGUUCUCCAGGACGGUCACCAGGCGGGAGGUUCAGUCUGCGUCUGGCUUCCGUGCUGGCGGCAGGCGGGACCCCAAGUCCAGUCACCCCGUCCGCAACCUGCUGCGGCCCCUGAGCUCCUCCCUUUGCAGAGACCAGCAGUCCUGGCUCAGGCCCUGGUCGCGCAGCUGCCGUCCAGCCCGGCCCCACUGCUCCCGGGGUCACUCCCCCGCACUGCCCCUGCCCGGCAUCCGGAAACAGCUAUUAAAGACUAACGUGACAGCACCCAGAUAAUCAUAUUACGGGUCGUGUUUAACCCCGUCACUGCGGUGGAGGCGGCCCUGACGCGAGCUCGCUCCGUGCAGCUGGAGGCCGCCUCACACGUAUAUCCUCAAAAUGGAUGUAGUCUAUGUGUUGCAGUAGCUUCCCUCAGUUUUUAACGUAUUUUUUUACUUUCUUUAAGGUGUCUUUUAUUUUAUUUUAUUUUAUUUUUUUAAAGAUUUAAUUUAUUCAUGAGAGACACAGAAGAGAGAAGAGAGAG